GGAGAGGUGUCUGAGUGGUUGAAAGAGCCGGUCUCGAAAACCGGUGUAGGCGCAAGUCUAUCGAGAGUUCGAAUCUCUCCCUCUCCG
rnacentral:tRNA from 1 species